rnacentral:tRNA from 1 species
GCCUGUGUAGUUCAGUGGUUAGAGUGUCAGCCUGCACACUGGAGGAUCACGGGUUCAAUUCCCAGUCGAGGGCA